rfam:Oryza glaberrima chromosome 4 Oglab04_0291_8, whole genome shotgun sequence.
AAUAAGUGCAACCAUGAGUUUUCGUGUCCAAUUUUGAUCGUCCGUCUUAUUUUAAUUUUUUUAUAAUUAGUAUUUUUAUUGUUAUAAGAUUAUAAAACAUGAAUAGUACUUUAUGUGUGACUUAUGUUCUUUUUUUAAAAAAAAUAAAUAAGACGGACUAUCAAAGUUGGACAUGGAAUUUCAUGGUUGCGCUUAUU